AGCUCGGUGCAGUGGCUCACGC
rnacentral:miRNA from 1 species